GGUUUGUUGGAAGAGUGGUAUAUACUGUUGAUCUUCUACAACUACUACCCGGGUUCGAAUCCCGCAUUGGCCA